rnacentral:rRNA from 1 species
GACGAAGGGGGCUAGCGUUGUUCGGAAUUACUGGGCGUAAAGCGCACGUAGGCGGCCUUUCAAGUCGGAUGUGAAAGCCCCGAGCUUAACUCGGGAACUGCAUUUGAUACUGUUGGGCUAGAGACCGGGAGAGGAUAGCGGAAUUCCCAGUGUAGAGGUGAAAUUCGUAGAUAUCGGGAGGAACACCAGUGGCGAAGGCGACUACCUGGCCUGUUCUUGACGCUGAGGCGCGAAAGCUAGGGGAGCAAACGGG